rnacentral:tRNA from 1 species
GCCAUGAUUGUAUAGUGGUUAGUACUCUGCAUUGUGGCCGCAGCAACCCCGGUUCGAAUCUGGGUCAUGGCA